rnacentral:rRNA from 1 species
UAAUACGGAGGGCGCAAGCGUUGUUCGGAAUCGCUGGGCAUAAAGAGCACGUAGGCUGUUCAAUCAGUCGGAUGUGAAAGCCCUCGGCCCAACCGGGGAACUGCAUUCGAUACUAUUGAGCUAGAGGACAGGAGGGGUGAGUGGAACUCCAGGUGGAACGGUGAAAUGUGUAGAUAUCUGGAGGAACACCGGUGGCGAAAACGGCUCACUGGCCUGUCUCUGACGCUGAGGUGCGAAAGCUAGGGUAGCGAACGGGAUUAGAUACCCCGGUAGUCCUAGCCGUAAACGGUGGGCACUAGGCAAUGGGUUUCCCUAUGGAGUUCAUUGCCGUAGCAAAUGUGUUAAGUGCCCCGCCUGGGGGGUACGCUCGCAAGGGUA